rnacentral:rRNA from 1 species
UGCAAGUCGAACGAUGAAGCCCAGCUUGCUGGGUGGAUUAGUGGCGAACGGGUGAGUAACACGUGAGUAACCUGCCCUUGACUCUGGGAUAAGCGCUGGAAACGGCGUCUAAUACCGGAUACGACCUGCCCCGGCAUCGGGUGUGGGUGGAAAGUUUUUCGGUCAAGGAUGGACUCGCGGCCUAUCAGCUUGUUGGUGAGGUAAUGGCUCACCAAGGCGACGACGGGUAGCCGGCCUGAGAGGGUGACCGGCCACACUGGGACUGAGACACGGCCCAGACUCCUACGGGAGGCAGCAGUGGGGAAUAUUGCACAAUGGGCGCAAGCCUGAUGCAGCAACGCCGCGUGGGGGAUGACGGCCUUCGGGUUGUAAACCUCUUUUAGUAGGGAAGAAGGGCUUCGGCUUGACGGUACCUGCAGAAAAAGCACCGGCUAACUACGUGCCAGCAGCCGCGGUAAUACGUAGGGUGCAAGCGUUGUCCGGAAUUAUUGGGCGUAAAGAGCUCGUAGGCGGUUUGUCGCGUCUGCUGUGAAAACCCGAGGCUCAACCUCGGGCCUGCAGUGGGUACGGGCAGACUAGAGUGCGGUAGGGGAGAAUGGAAUUCCUGGUGUAGCGGUGGAAUGCGCAGAUAUCAGGAGGAACACCGAUGGCGAAGGCAGUUCUCUGGGCCGUAACUGACGCUGAGGAGCGAAAGCGUGGGGAGCGAACAGGAUUAGAUACCCUGGUAGUCCACGCCGUAAACGUUGGGCGCUAGAUGUGGGGACCUUUCCACGGUUUCCGUGUCGCAGCUAACGCAUUAAGCGCCCCGCCUGGGGAGUACGGCCGCAAGGCUAAAACUCAAAGGAAUUGACGGGGGGCCCGCACAAGCGGCGGAGCAUGCGGAUUAAUUUCGAUGCAACGCGAAGAACCUUACCAAAGCUUUGACAUAUACCCGGAAACUUCCAAGAAAUGGUUGCCCCCGCA